rnacentral:tRNA from 1 species
CAGAGCAUAGCUAAGAUAGUAAAGCAUCUCCCUUACACUGAGAAGUCAUCCGUGCAACUCGGAUUGCCCUGA